rnacentral:rRNA from 1 species
GAUGAACGCUAGCGGCAGGCCUAACACAUGCAAGUCGAGGGGCAUCGCGGUGCAGCAAUGCACUGGCAGCGACCGGCGUACGGGUGCGUAACGCGUAUGCAACCUGCCCCGCACCGGGGGAUAGCCCGCCGAAAGGCGGAUUAAUACCCCAUGGUCCCGGGGGCCCGCAUGGGCAUCCGGGUAAAGCCUUGGCGGUGCGGGAUGGGCAUGCGUGCCAUUAGCUGGCUGGUGGGGUAACGGCCCACCAGGGCAACGAUGGCUAGGGGGUCUGAGAGGAUGGUCCCCCACACUGGUACUGAGACACGGACCAGACUCCUACGGGAGGCAGCAGUGAGGAAUAUUGGUCAAUGGGCGGAAGCCUGAACCAGCCAUGCCGCGUGCGGGAUGAAGGCCCUACGGGUUGUAAACCGCUUUUCCCCGGGAAGAAUAACCCCGAUGAGUCGGGGAUGCCGGUACCGGGGAAUAAGGAUCGGCUAACUCCGUG